AAAUUGAAGAGUUUGAUCAUGGCUCAGAUUGAACGCUGGCGGCAGGCCUAACACAUGCAAGUCGAACGGUAACAGAAAGCAGCUUGCUGCUUUGCUGACGAGUGGCGGACGGGUGAGUAAUGUCUGGGAAACUGCCUGAUGGAGGGGGAUAACUACUGGAAACGGUAGCUAAUACCGCAUAACGUCGCAAGACCAAAGAGGGGGACCUUCGGGCCUCUUGCCAUCGGAUGUGCCCAGAUGGGAUUAGCUUGUUGGUGGGGUAACGGCUCACCAAGGCGACGAUCCCUAGCUGGUCUGAGAGGAUGACCAGCCACACUGGAACUGAGACACGGUCCAGACUCCUACGGGAGGCAGCAGUGGGGAAUAUUGCACAAUGGGCGCAAGCCUGAUGCAGCCAU
rnacentral:rRNA from 1 species